UAUAUUUGAGAUAAUUAUUCAGUGAAAUAGUAGUAAGUACUUAAAAACAGCUCUCCAGGGCGGGGAAAAGCCCUGAUUUGUAGCGUUUUCCAAUUUUCCUGGUGUAAAUACUCUUCCAGGGCUGAUUUCAAGCUACCAAUGUGAGGUCACUGAGCACAGAGUUGGGAAGAGAGGGUACACACUUGGCUCCCAAGAGUUAAUAGGAACUAACUCUAGCAUACCACCACAAUUAUCCCUAUAACCUUUGGAGGAAAUGCUUUAAAUACUAACUGCGACAAAAUCUGGACAUGAUGAAAUAGGACUCUAAGGAGCCUCUUUUAUAGACGAAUAGAAGGAUUUUUUAAAGUAUUUUUUUUCUAACUGUAAGACAUUGCUCAAGUCAGAAAAUCUUACAAAACAUGAAAGAUAUUUAAUUUUACUUCUCAAACGAUGGGUUUGGACUCUACAUAAGUUUCAUACUUACUGCAAUAGAAGUAUCAAAAGAUGAAAGCUAGAAAUGAUGUCGGGAACACACCGUCCUUUACCAACCAUUAAUCAUACCUACUAGCAUGGGAGGGAAAGAGGGAAAUCAAAUAUGGCCCCUGCAAACAUUGGUGGCUUUAAUAUGCAGUGUCUAGAAAUGAGGCUCCAUUUCCGAGUUGUAAGAUUAUGAAGAUUAAGGAGGGUAUUUCUCUCUGUCCAACACCACAAAUUAAAAUGAAGUCUUCCUUAUUAGUAUUUUAGCUCAGUUUUGCAGCAAUGAAAUUCUCUCGUCCUAAGGGAGCAAUGGCAAGUUCUACCAAGAGCGUACUGUGCAGGAGGAAGAAGAAGGUGGGUACGUUUGGGAAGGGCUGACCACACGGAGCAAUUGCCACAGUUAAAGGAUUUUUAAAUCUCGAGGACAGUGAGAUUACAAUAGCAAAUGCUGGAAACGUGUGGGGCUUCAAACGUUUCCCCAGGGAAAUAAUGGCAGCCCUAUCGCCUCAUGGAACCUCACAGAUAAAUUCCAAAGAAUCUGAGCCCAUCCUCAUCAGUCUGUCAAAUUUCCACAGACCCUCUUCCCACAAACCAGUGUUAAAACAAAAAAGAUACCUAGGUGAAAAGAGCUAAGGAAAUGCUGUCUCAGAGUCUGAAUUCUUCUUUUACUUAAAACAAUCCUCUAUUCCUAGAACUUGCCUUAUUAGAGCUAGAAUCAAGUGGUUUAAUCCAUGGCUCUGAAAACAAAGUCUGGUCAGGACGGAAUCCAAACAUCUGAGAUCCGCACGAAUAAAUGUCCCCGGGGUGACUAUUGCAUCUGGAAGGGUAGGAGCCAUUUCUACUCUCUAGGAGUUGCACAGAAAGGAAAGGAGAAGCAUGCUGGAUUCCAGGCUGUCUUGCUCCUGGUGUCUGAUGUCAUUGCAGAGGCCACCAGUGGCCCAGAGUGAGUCCAGCUGGCAGAUGACUGGAUAGCCUACAGGGCUACCCUGGGCUUAUCUUCUUGGCUGCAAGCCUCUGAGCUGUGGGGCUCUGUCUGAACGGCCAGAUUCCAUACCCAAGCAGAGGCUGCACACUACCGGUGACAUCCAACCGGUCGGCAAUGAGCUUCUGGGCAAUUCUUCCAAGAGACUAGAUGGACACCUGGAGCCAAACUUUAUCAGACUCGCUGAAGUUUGACCCUUAUAAACAGUUCAGUUCUCCAGAGUUUUCUGGCUUGCAUGUGGUUGGAAGUGGGACCGUGCCAAGUUCCGAGUCCAGCUUUGAAAUGUUUAUCCUGUAGCACCUGCUCCAAAACACGAGGUUUGUGUCAUGAUCUCAGUUAUAAUUCACAAAGAAGCUGGAAGAUGUUUGGCCUUUGAAAAGGAACACCCCUCUCUUCAUACCCAUGACAUUAACCAAGAUUACCAAGAUUCUGAAGUCUGAAAAGGGGAUUGCAUCUACUCCUCUGGCUUCAACUAUCACCUAUACCCUGAUUACUCCCAGAUUUUAAUCUCUGGCCCAGAUCUUUAUCUCCUGGGCUCCAGACCUGAAAUUUCAACUGCCUCCUGGGCAUCUCUAUUUGGAAGUCCCACAGGUAAUCUUAUCUUUAUAGGUCCUAAAUCAAAUUUGGCAUUUUAUUUCUCUACACCAAAACCUGCUGCCUCCCUAUGGCCCCUACCUUGGGCAAUUGGGUCUUGUUUCAUCCAGUGAAUCAAGCCAGAACCUGGCAGCCCUCCUCCACAUCUCUCUUUCUCAUGCCUCCAUCCAAUGAAUUGCCAAAUUCUGUUGUUUCUUGGUAUUUCUUCCUUCCUUCCUUCCUUCCUUCCUUCCUUCCUUCCUUCCUUCCUUCCUUCCUUUCUU